UUGGUUAUUGCCUCAGCAUUUUGUUUGCGUGCACCGCCCCGACGUUAGCACCUGCUCCCUUUAAAGGCUUUCCGGUUGAGUUUAACAGAGGUAGCUCUUCGUCACAGAACCUGCCCUUUGAAUUGUAUUUCCAGUUGAAGCAGUGAUCCGUCCACAUACCCUUUCAUGAUCUACUUUGGGACCA
rnacentral:lncRNA from 1 species